UUAUUUACAGUAUGCUAGGAAUAUACAGGGCGCUUUCGAGGAUAAAUGUUGUCUAGUCCCUUUCAAAGGUUGUUGCAUUAUGGAGAUACAAAUUGUCCGACUGCGCCUGUAGUAUAUGGAGCUAUACACCUUUAAUGUUGUUGUGAUCAAAUGUCAUUCGUUUUUUUUAUGAAGUCGCUUUCAAGUCACUGGUCAUGGCUAGAAGGGAUCCAGCUUUUGUAAAAUAACGUCAAAAGGGGAAGUUGCAGAUAAUCUGAAGAUGGCCUACUGCUUCAUGACGGCCUACAGCAGUAGUGGUAAGAAGUCUGUGGACUCGUGUCAAAACGUGGGUCUCUUCACUGACGUUGGUUGAGCCAUGAAGGCCGGCCCUGACUCAGGGGGCAAAAGGUUGAAGGAUUCACUAAUGUGCGUGUUUUAGAUUUAGGGGACCAACUUAAUAUUUUUGCAUCCAAUGAGAUUGUUCCUCUCGACAUGGAGAAAGGACAGAUUCUCAGUCCAACACAUCUAUCUGCCUGAACAUUGACAACAACUUGACUUGAUUAAAAUGAGUU